AAGCGCCUCGUCUUGGGAGGUGGUGGCGGCGGUCGCCGUGAUGCCUGCGGGGCUGGGCGGCUGACGGUGGCGUAGAAGUGGGCCCCGAGCCCUGAAUCUCGGCGGCCUCUGUUGUAGAGCGGCCUCCGCCAUGGCCACCUCCGCCGCCUCCUCGGAGCAUUUCGAGAAACUGCACGAGAUCUUCCGCGGCCUCCAUGAAGACCUACGAGGGGUGCCGGAGCGGCUCCUGGGGAUAGCAGGGACAGAAGAGAAGAAGAAGUUAAUCAGGGAUUUUGAUGAAAAGCAACAAGAAGCAAAUGAAACGCUGGCAGAGAUGGAAGAGGAACUACGUUACGCACCCCUGACCUUUCGUAACCCUAUGAUGUCGAAGCUUCGAACCUACCGUAAGGACCUUGCCAAGCUCCAUCGGGAAGUGAGAAGCACACCUUUGACAUCCGCACCUGGGGGCCGAGGAGACAUGAAAUAUGGUACAUACUCUGUAGAGGAUGAGCAUAUGAAUCGGCUACAGUCUCAAAGAGUAUUGCUUCUGCAAGGCACUGACAGCCUGAACCGGGCCACCCAGAGCAUUGAGCGUUCUCAUCGGAUUGCCACGGAAACUGACCAGAUUGGCUCAGAAAUCAUAGAAGAGCUAGGAGAGCAGCGUGACCAGUUGGAACGUACCAAGAGUAGACUGGUAAACACCAGUGAAAACUUGAGCAAAAGUCGGAAGAUUCUCCGUUCAAUGUCCAGAAAAGUGACAACCAACAAGCUGCUGCUUUCUAUCGUCAUCUUACUGGAGCUAGCCAUCCUUGGAGGCCUGGUUUAUUACAAAUUCUUUCGCAGGCUGUGAACCUCCUACAGGGAAGGUUUUGUGGACCAGAACUUGGACUCUGUGAAUGAAUGGUGUUAGAGGUGUGGAGAAAUCAUAUCGCUGCUAUGAGCUAAUGGUUCAAGAAGGCACUGUGUAGCCAGACUGUGGGAGAAAGGGGCACGACGGAAAACCACUUAAAUGUGAAGGAACAGCAAUAAGACAAGUGUGAUAUACCAAGCCUGGGAAAAUACUACCUAGAGGUAAUCAUGGUUUUGCUUGUCUUCUGGACCAACGGAACCGAAUGAGGCCUGGGAGCUUCUAACCAAGAGGUCUUCAGGCUGUAAAUGUAUCAAAUCACUAGUUAACGACCCACGGCCACGUUCCUUUAUUAUGAGGAUGUGAACCCCUACUGAGAGCAGGGACCAUGUCCUGGUCACCUUUAUAGCCCUGGCAUCUAGACUGCCUGGUCCAAAAUAUUGCCUGAUGAACGAAUGAGAGCAUGGUAAGCAUUUCUACCACUACCCCAAAUCCAUCCUUCACAAAAGUCUCAUUGCACUAGACCCUCAAAGCCCCAGGAGAACCUCUGCAAGCUGUUCAAUUUUCUCUUCCUUUCAGCCCACUGACCUUGUCCUGUAGUUCUCUGAGGAGAAAUGAAACUGGUUGUCCAUGGAGAUUUCCAGAUGAAGUGGUGAGGGGUGUGUUGAUGUCAGCAUGGGCAUCAACCCAGAUCACACAAAGGUCUGGGCAGUGCCGGGCGUGGCCACUAAUGGUACCAAUUGCCAGGCUGCAAAGAACACAUAAAAUAAUCUUAAAGGCCUUCCACUUGGCAGAUGUCACCACUAACAAAAAUCCUCAGCCAACACAGCUCACAGUUUAUCCUUAGGGCAAAGUCAGGGCCCCAGACUGAGCCUGGAUUUGGAAGAGACAGAGUCCCUGGGGCUGUUGCUCCCAAAGAGGAACCUUGAGUGAGAGAGACAGAGAGAAAUGGAAGGUUCUAAAGAUUCCAAAGUGAUGACCGGUUAUCCCUAUAGUGUGGUGUCAUUGCUACCCCCAAAUCCCUUUAAUUUGAUCCAUUAGCCUUGGCCUGGGAAAGGACCUAAAAUGUUUGUUCAACAGAUGAACUCCUACUAAAUGAUGUGAUCUAUAUUUAACAACUCUAAUACUACUACUUAAUACUUCUCGAGAGACCAAGGAGAUCUAAUUAUAUAACAUUAUUAAAUUUUUAACGAUAAAA